AAGACAACAAAAACGAGACAAAAUAUUACAAAAAUGAGAAACAAAACGACAAAAACAGAAGACAAAUGACAAAUCACUAAAAAAGACAGAAAAACAACAAAAACAAGACAAAAUAUGACAAAUAUGAGACAAAUGACACGAAAAAAACAAAAAAGCCACAAAAAAUUAGACAAAAAAGUUACAAAGUGAUGAAAAAAUGGACAAAUGACAAAAACAAGGCCAAAAAUUACACAAAACGACAAAACAGCGAAUAAAGCGAAACACAAAAUGACAAAAAAGACAAAAAAACAAGACAAAAUAUCACAAAAAUGAAACACAAAAUUACAAAAACAUGAGACAAGCAACAAAAAAGACAAAAAAAUAAGACAAAAUAUUACAAAAAUGCGUCACAAAAUAACAAAAGGACAGUCUAGUACUUUAUGAUCAAAACAACUUGUCAUGGUCUAGAAAUUAUUUUAAAUUGAUAAUUUUACAAAUUUACAAUCUGCAGUUAAUGUCUUCUCUGGAAUUUUUACACUUUGAGGGCCGGAUUGGACCCUCUGGAGGACCGCUUUUGGGCCUCAGGCCGCAUGUUGGACACCCCUGGUUUAGAGGAAGAAAACGUAGGAAGGAAUGACGCCACCACACUUACAUUGAUUCCUUCCCAUGAAAACUCAGAGCGUCCAUGCUGAGGAAGAGAAGGAGGAGAGAGAGAGGGAUGGAGGAGAGACAGAAACAUCCACAUGCAUCAGGAGGAAUCACAGCAGACAUGCAGACGAGGACGUUCAGGAGGAAAUACAGAGGUUUUCCAGGAAAGGCAGCAGUCAGAGAGCGGGAUGACGGGAGGACGAGGAUUAGACAGGGAUCACUUCAUAUUUGCUUAGUUAUGUACAGCAGAGUGAAUACGCUACAGAUGAAUGGCUUUCCUCUGCGGUUACAUGUGCUGCCAGGAAAGCCAACAGAUAGAGACGCAGAGCCGCAGAAUGAGUUCAUGAAGGCGGAUAAGACCGACCAGUCCUCCCAUCAGCCUGUCACUGGCUGAACUGGGAACACUGGUGGCUGCUGACGUGCUUUAACUGUUCGUAAAGACAACCAGCAACAACAUGUACCACACUAAAACUACAGCUUUUUUUUACAUUUUUAAACCUCUGAAACUAAAAAAAAAAUCACCUAAAUUACGCUAUUUAUCAGCCUGACACUGUAGAAACACAAAAAAAUCCUUGUAUUUUUAACUUUCUGGCAGUCCUUGAACGCAUCAUUUGCAGCAUGCAGUUCCAUCAGGAAAAUUUUACAGUAUGAGGAGACAAAGCGACCUCAACGAGACAUAAAAAGACCAAAAUAGCACAGAAUAUGACACAAAACAAGAAAAGUGAGACACAAAACGGCAAAACAGAGAUACAAAACGACAAAACCGAGACACAAAACGAUAAAAACUAGACACAAAAUGACAAAAACAAGACACAAAACAUCAAAACUAAGACACAAAAUGAAAAAAACGAGACACAAAAGGACCAAACCGAGAAAGAAAACGUCAAAAUCGAGACACAAAACGAUAAAAACUAGACACAAAAUCACAAAAACAAGACACAAAACAUCAAAACUAAGACACAAAACGAAAAAACGAGACACAAAAGGACCAAACCGAGAAAGAAAACAUCAAAAUCGAGAAACAAAACAGCAAAACAGAGACUGAGAACGACAAAACCAAGACACAAAACGACAAUACCAAGACACAAAACGACAAAAACGAGACACAAAAUUAUAAAAGCGAAAAAAAAAUUAGAAAACCGACACGAAACGACACGAGACCAAAAAAAACCUACAAAAAUUAAUUUUAAACUCAGAUUUCGUUCAUUUUCUCUAUGGAUCCACACGUCACUCAUGAUGCAUUCAAGGUUGAAAAUCCGAUGAGUUUUCUUUUAUUUCAAGAGUUUGUGGCUGAUAAAUGGAGUCAUUUUGUUGAUUUUUUUUCAAAAAGAACAUAACCAGAGAAAAAAGAAAACUACUCGGGGGUUCAAAGAGAACAAGAUUCACUUCACGAACAUCGGUUCAGUUUGUUUUCUGCUGUUAAAUCUGUUUCCUCCUCUAAAGUUUAACGCUUUUUAAAACAGGAAACAUCCAGCCUCCUGUGAUUAACACAUGAAUAACAUUUGUUUUUGAGGUUUCUGGACGUCCAGCAGAGAGUCGACGAUGUUUCUGCUGCUGCCAACAGUUCGGCUCAUAAAACCCAGCGGAGCCAAAAUAUGACGUUUCUACACCCUGGAUUCUGAUUAAAUAAUGGAGACAAACUGUGUUAGUCGGUGAGAUUCAGAUGUGGAUUUUAUUACCUUACUAAAUAAUCUCCAGUAAAUGCAGGUAUUUGUAAAAAAAACUUUCAUUCAUUGAAAAAAACCAAAAUGAAACGGGUCAUUCCAGGACUGCAGAACAUUUGGGCUUCAAAAUCUUUGAAAAAUAAAGCUUCUCUUUUCCAGUUUUCUGCUCCACAUUCAUCAAUAAUAGGUAUUGAUUGGUUCAGCUUCCACAUCAAUGGUAGCAUUUUUAUUCCAUGUUUUCUGUGUUGUUUGCUAACCCUACUCUAAUCACAGUAACAGGGUUGCUAAUCCAUGCUAAUGUGAUCUUUUUCUCAGCAGUAGAAGCUAGAUAUUUAGCUGCUGUUACUGCUGACCAAGAGGACAAACUGACUGAUGGAAAACAGUCCAAAGAAUUAGUCUGAUACUGAUAAUAUGAGGUAGAGGGAGACAUUCAAUCAAGGCUGACAAUGUGAUGAAAAUAUGAAAAACAGAAGAGAGGACAUAGCUUUGCUCUACACAUUCUUUAGGAAAACUGUUAAUGGAAAUUACAAAAACAAGACUCAAAAUGACAAAAACAAGACAUAAAACGACAAAUCGAGACACAAAAUGACAAAACAAGACGCAAAAUCACAAAAACAAGACAAGAAACGACAAAAACGAGACACAAAAUGACAAAAACAAGACGGAAAAUUAAAAAAACCGAGAGACAAAAUGACAAAAAUAAGUCAUAGAACGACAAAAACAAGACACAAAAUGACAGAAACGAGAGACAAAACAACAGAAGACACAAAACGUAAAAAACGAGAUACAAAGCGACAAAACUGAGACACAAAAUGACAAAAACAAGAUACAAAACAACAAAAAAAGACAAGAAACAACAGAAACAAGUCACAAGACAACAAAAACGAGACACAAAAUGACAGAAACAAGACAGAAAAUGACAAAAACGAGACACAAACGUAAAACAUCCUCCAGUUCUGGAAUGACUCAUAUUCAGAUUCUUUCAUGUUGAUAGAGACGUAUUAAUGUCUGUAAAUACAGAAACACUGAUAUGAGUCACUAUAUUUUCUGUAUUUUCUCUAUUCUAGCUGGUCAGUGGACUAAAAGUAAAGCGGAGGUAAUUUAAUGCUACAAUAACGAGCUAACGUCUCCAUCAUGUUAAUCAAUAUCCGCCUCUUCCUGCCAUCCUUCACUUAUUUCCUGUAAUUCUAUUCUCUCUGCUGCGGACUGAUGAGAGCUUUAACAGCAGCUCCUCCACUAUGUUUCCUCAUAUACUUAUUUAUAUACGUGGCUGCUUUCUUUCCGCAGGACCGAAGGGCGUUCUGGGGCACGGUGCAUAAAUAAAUGAUGCAAUCAGUCCACAGUGCAUUUGGCGGAAAAGUCGAGUCUCCACACUUCAGCCCAAAAUGGUUUCCUCUCCAAAGAGAACAAAAACCGAGGAUGAGGAGAAGAAAGACGACAGACUUCCUACAGACCGGAUCUGCCUGACGCUGAGGAUGCUCCAGGUGUAACGAAGCAUCGAUCAGUGUUUCCACACAGAUAUCAGGCUGCAGCUCAGCAGAUUGUGUUUCUGGAGGAUGAACUCAUCCAUCCAGCUGCUGCUCAUCUGCUGCCAGCUGCAGUCAGGAGGCCGAUCGAUGGCACUCUGGAGCUUUUCUCAGCAGGACCAACAGAAACAACCACACCUCGGUCCGGCUGCUGGCAGGGAAAUCACACUGGAGCUGCUAAAACACAUCUCAGGAUGGAGUCAGACUGCUGUGGAAACCUCCGAGUGGAAAUCGAACACUUUUUUAUCCAGUGGAAGUGGGGAGACUGGAAACAUUCCUGAGUGGGACAAUAGGCUAUCAGCCCUGAUGACCACUCCCUGCAGGCCACAUCCACACAACCAGCCAGCAACAGGUUACACAACCGAAGCCCAGAACAGACCUUUGCUUCUGCUUUCACAACCUGAAGGAAAUCGAUUCAAAGUAAUAGAAGAGUCGGAGAAAGCUGAGAGCAGCGAGUUGGAACACUCAGGAGACACACAGGAGAGUUUGGGAGGCGAUGCAGCAGUAUCAAGCUGAAGACAAGAGGAUAUGAACGAGACGACAUAUGAGGAUGCUCUCUGAUGAGACUUCAUGGGAUUUACCUGAAGCAGCAGCACGUGAGCCUGCAGUGGCACAAGGUGUAGAGGAGGAGGACAGAGAUGUACAGGAUGCACUGAUGCACUACGGCUCAUGCAGAAGUUAAGUUAUUCUUCUCGUUAUACUUCUGUUUUUCUGUCCCCGGACCGCUAUUGUUUUCUUUAAUGCAAUUCUGACAAUAAACUUUUGUACCUUUUGCA